rnacentral:rRNA from 1 species
UUGCUGGCGACCGGCGCACGGGUGAGUAACACGUAUCCAACCUGCCGAUAACUCGGGGAUAGCCUUUCGAAAGAAAGAUUAAUACCCGAUAGUAUAAUCAGACCGCAUGGUUUGAUUAUUAAAGAAUUUCGGUUAUCGAUGGGGAUGCGUUCCAUUAGGCAGUUGGUGAGGUAACGGCUCACCAAACCUUCGAUGGAUAGGGGUUCUGAGAGGAAGGUCCCCCACAUUGGAACUGAGACACGGUCCAA